AUUGAACGCUGGCGGCAUGCCUUACACAUGCAAGUCGAACGGGCUUUGGGGCUUGCCUCAAAGUUAGUGGCGAACGGGUGAGUAAUAUAUCGGAACGUACCCUAGAGUGGGGGAUAACUAGUCGAAAGACUGGCUAAUACCGCAUACGAUCUAAGGAUGGAAGUGGGGGACCGCAAGGCCUCAUGCUCAUGGAGCGGCCGAUAUCUGAUUAGCUAGUUGGUGGGGUAAAGGCCUACCAAGGCGACGAUCAGUAGCUGGUCUGAGAGGACGAUCAGCCACACUGGGACUGAGACACGGCCCAGACUCCUACGGGAGGCAGCAGUGGGGAAUUUUGGACAAUGGGCGAAAGCCUGAUCCAGCAAUGCCGCGUGUGUGAAGAAGGCCUUCGGGUUGUAAAGCACUUUUGUCCGGAAAGAAAUGGCUCUGGUUAAUACCUGGGGUCGAUGACGGUACCGGAAGAAUAAGGACCGGCUAACUACGUGCCAGCAGCCGCGGUAAUAC
rnacentral:rRNA from 1 species